rnacentral:rRNA from 1 species
AUACGUAGGGAGCAAGCGUUGUCCGGAAUUACUGGGCGUAAAGGGCGCGUAGGUGGAUGCUUAAGUCAGAUGUGAAAACUCCGGGCUCAACUUGGAGAUUGCAUUUGAAACUGGGUAUCUUGAGGGUAGGAGAGGAAAGUGGAAUUCCGAGUGUAGAGGUGAAAUUCGUAGAUAUUCGGAGGAACACCAGUGGCGAAGGCGGCUUACUGGUCCAUUACUGACGCUGAGGUGCGAAAGCGUGGGGAGC